rnacentral:lncRNA from 1 species
GGGAAGUUCUGAGCAUGCGUGGCACCAUUUCCCGGGAACACCCGUAGGAGGUCGUGCCUGAUCUCUACUUCUAGAAAGAUCCUAAAGAGAUUGAAAAGGGAGAGCUGACUCCUGCUAAAAACGCUGUGAUCAAGAAGGAAUUUCAGGGGUUUCUCAAGGAACUUUCCAAGUGGUGGUUUCAGAUGGGGGUGGAGCUCCAGCUGUCAAACCCAUGUUGGAAGCAAAAGGAAG